UACGGAGGGUGCAAACGUUGCUCGGAAUCAUUGGGCGUAAAGCGCGCGUAGGCGGCGAGGCAAGUUGGAUGUGAAAGCCCUGGGCUCAACCUAGGAUGUGCAUACAAAACUGCCUCGCUUGAAUCUCGGAGGGGGUCAGGGAAUUCCCGGUGUAGAGGUGAAAUUCGUAGAUAUCGGGGGGAACACCAGUGGCGAAGGCGCUGACCUGGACGAUGAUUGACGCUGAGGCGCGAAAGCGUGGGGAGCAAACAGG
rnacentral:rRNA from 1 species